AGUCAUUAUUUUCUCCCUAUUCCAGGAGUCUGCGAGCUGGUAACUUUUCAGAUGAAACCUGGUGGGCCAGCUCUGUGGGGUGACGCAUUUAAAAGAGCGGUUAAUGCCCAUGUCGAUCUAGGCUACUCAAAACUAGUUGGAGUUUUCCAUACAGAAUAUGGAGCACUCAACAGAGUUCAUGUUCUUUGGUGGAACGAGAGUGCGGAUAGCCGAGCAGCUGGGAGACACCAGUCUCAUGAGGAUCCCAGAGUUGUGGCAGCUGUUCGGGAAAGUGUCAAUUACCUAGUGUCUCAGCAAAAUAUGCUUCUGAUUCCUACGUCAUAUUCACCAUUGAAAUAGUUUUCCGUGGAAAUACAAAGCAUUGCAUGAACUGCCAUAAGACGUGUCUGUUAACGGUGCUUAAAUUCCUCCAAGAGAUUCUCACUUUUAUUUGGAGGAGGUGGUAAGCUAAUUUGCUAUGUCCCUUGCAUUUCUUAAAAGCUACUCUCUAGCCACUGUCACCACCACUUCAGGAAACAGUCUGUUCAUUUUCCCCUUGAUAUUUCAGUACCUGUCACACAUUAAAAAUAGUGGCCAUUACUACAGUAUCUUGAUUUUUCAUUUGUUUCAGAAUAUCUCUUGUUCUCUAUUUUGACAACCCUCUGCUUUUAUACCAUUUUCUUACAUACAAUUGAUUGUUACAUUUCCAUACCUGUGAUAGCAUCGUUAAAUUAUAUGCAUAAAUUAUCAACCUUUUCAUCAUGUCUGUUUUUCUGAGAUUAUAAAAGUUUUUGUUCAGUAAGGUUUUCUACAUAAUACCCAUUGGGAUCCAUAAAAAAAUCCAUUAAACAUUUCUUUACUACAGAAAGUACAGUAUCAUCUGUGUCAUUUAUGUUACUUAUGUUUUUUACAU